rnacentral:rRNA from 1 species
AUUGAACGCUGGCGGCAGGCCUAACACAUGCAAGUCGAGCGGAUGAAGGGAGCUUGCUCCUGGAUUCAGCGGCGGACGGGUGAGUAAUGCCUAGGAAUCUGCCUGGUAGUGGGGGAUAACGUCCGGAAACGGGCGCUAAUACCGCAUACGUCCUGCGGGAGAAAGUGAUGGAUCUUCGGUCCUCACUCUAUCAGAUGAGCCUAGGUCGUAUUAGCUAGUUGGUGGGGUAAAGGCCUACCAAGGCGACGAUCCGUAACUGGUCUGAGAGGAUGAUCAGUCACACUGGAACUGAGACACGGUCCAGACUCCUACGGGAGGCAGCAGUGGGGAAUAUUGGACAAUGGGCGAAAGCCUGAUCCAGCCAUGCCGCGUGUGUGAAGAAGGUCUUCGGAUUGUAAAGCACUUUAAGUUGGGAGGAAGGGCAGUAAGUUAAUACCUUGCUGUUUUGACGUUACCAACAGAAUAAGCACCGGCUAACUUCGUG